GUGAUUAAUGUGAACUGCAUACUGCUUUGAACAUCGACAUCUUGAACGCAUAUUGCGGCUACGGGGUAUCUCGUGGCCACGCCUGUUCGAGGGUU
rnacentral:rRNA from 1 species